rnacentral:rRNA from 1 species
CUGGCCUCAAAUCAGGUAGGAUUACCCGCUGAACUUAAGCAUAUCAAUAAGCGGAGGAAAAGAAACUAACAAGGAUUCCCCUAGUAACGGCGAGUGAAGCGGGAAGAGCUCAAAUUUGAAAGCUGUUGCCUUUGGUAACCGCAUUGUAAUCUCGAGAUCUGUUUUCCGCGCUGGACCGUG